CUCACAUUAUCUUUAAAUCACACACAUUCCGACACGUGUUCCGGGGUGCUCCAACAGUAAAACUAUUUACAUUAAGUGGAUAGAUGUUAGGGGUCGGAUUCAUGGGGGAUGUGGAGGCCUAAC
rnacentral:sRNA from 1 species